rnacentral:rRNA from 1 species
GACGAACGCUGGCGGCGUGCCUAAUACAUGCAAGUAGGACGCAGUUGCGAAUGGGUGAGUAACGCGUAGGUAACUACCUAUUAGAGGGGGAUAACUAUUGGAUACGAUAGCUUAUACCGCAUCCUUGUAGAUGGCCCUGCGUUGUGUUAGCUAGUAGGUAGGGGAAUGGCCUAACUAGGCAACGAUACAUAGACGACGGUAUAGUGUGAUCGGCCACACUGGGACUGAGACACGGGCCAGACUCCGUCGGGAGGCAGAAGUAGGGGAUCGUCGGAAAUGGGGGGAACCCUGACCGAGCAACGCCGCGUGAGUGAAGAAGGUUUUCGGAUCGUAAAGCUCUGUUGUUAAGGAAGCGGUACGUAACCAGAAAGGGACGGCUAACUACGUGCCAGCCGCCGCGGUAAUUC